UCUGAUGCUAUCUAUGAAAAAUUGUAAUGUCAGUGCUUGUAUACACCUCUGCAACAGUUCACUUGAAAAUAAUCAUAAACCCCUAACAAACAAAUCCUGCCUGCUUGAUACUUGUAAUGUGAAACUGGGGCUAUCUUUACUGGCUUGCUGGAAUGUGUAUAAUCCAUUCUGAUUGGUUGGGAGCCAAAUUUGAACGUGUAAACAUAGAUCCAUGCAGGACCUGAAAUGUAGUUUCAAAGCAAUGUUGGGAAUUUUUAAAGUUGAAGUUUUAAUAAUAUCCUGAUAUACUUUAAUGGACAUUCUUAAACAAUUAAUAAGAAUGUGGAAAUCAACAUUUUGUGUGUCAACAAGUCUCUAAAAGAGGAAUUCAGUGAGUAAUGAAGCGGCCCUUUUGGAAAUGCUUUGAACUGUUAAACAGCGAUUUUCAAAAAAGAUUGUGUAGCAACUUACCCCUGACAACGACCUCAGAAGUGCAGUCACAGAGUAAUGGUGCUGUUAUCACUUAAAAGCAACCAUCAAAAAAGAUUGUGUAGCAACUUUCCCCUGACAACACCCACUGGCUCAGUUAAGUGCAGUCACAGAGUGAUGGUACCUCACCAGGGUCUAGUUCAGGCAAAUGAAGAUCUCUAAAAGGGAUUUUCAUCUCAAUAUAAUAACUGUAAUUUCUUAAAACAUAAACUUACUUUAUUUACUGUGUUUUUAUGUCAUAUAACAGUGAUACAGUAAUGUGUGUUGUAUUUAGGGAUUUAUUUCUUAACGGGAUGUGUAAGAGUAAAUUAUUUUAUUUAAUUGA